AAAAAUUUAGUUUAUAAAAAAUAUUAAUUUGUCAAAUUAAAGAUGUUAAGUAACAAUUUUUUUUGCC
rnacentral:tRNA from 1 species